UAAGGAAUAUUGGGCAAUGGACGCAAGUCUGACCCAGCCAUGCCGCGUGAAGGAUGAAUGUCCUAUGGAUUGUAAACUUCUUUUAUGCAGGAAAAAUAUCCCGGUCGUGAACCGGGACUGAUGGUACUGUAUGAAUAAGCAUCGGCUAACUCCGUGCCAGCAGCCGCGGUAAUACGGAGGAUGCAAGCGUUAUCCGGAUUCAUUGGGUUUAAAGGGUGCGCAGGCGGAAUGAUAAGUCAGUGGUGAAAUCUCCCGGCUCAACCGGGAAACUGCCAUUGAUACUGCCAUUCUUGAGUACAGUUGAAGUGGGCGGAAUGUGUCAUGUAGCGGUGAAAUGCUUAGAUAUGACACAGAACACCGAUAGCGAAGGCAGCUCACUAAGCUGUAACUGACGCUCAUGCACGAAAGCGUGGGGAUCAAACAGG
rnacentral:rRNA from 1 species